rnacentral:tRNA from 1 species
GGAGAGAUGCCGAAGUGGCCAUAACGGGACUGAUUCGAAAUCAGUUUGAGAAAAAAUCUCACGCGGGUUCAAAUCUCGUUUUCCA